rnacentral:rRNA from 1 species
UACAGAGGUCCCGAGCGUUGUUCGGAUUCAUUGGGCGUAAAGGGUGCGUAGGCGGCGGGGAAAGUCUGAUGUGAAAUCCUGGGGCUCAACCCUGGAACUGCAUUGGAUACUUCCUUGCUAGAGUACUGGAGAGGAAACUGGAAUUUACGGUGUAGCAGUGAAAUGCGUAGAUAUCGAGAGGAACACCUGCGGCGAAGGCGGGUUGCUGGGCUGACACUGACGCUGAUGCGCGAAAGCGUGGGGAGCAAACAGG